UCUACAGGCUUAACACAUGCAAGUCGAGGGGCAUCAGGAAGAAAGCUUGCUUUCUUUGCUGGCGACCGGCGCACGGGUGAGUAACACGUAUCCAACCUGCCCUUUACUCGGGGAUAGCCUUUCGAAAGAAAGAUUAAUACCCGAUAGCAUAAUGAUUCCGCAUGGUUUCAUUAUUAAAGGAUUCCGGUGAAGGAUGGGGAUGCGUUCCAUUAGGUUGUUGGUGAGGUAACGGCCCACCAAGCCUUCGAUGGAUAGGGGUUCUGAGAGGAAGGUCCCCCACAUUGGAACUGAGACACGGUCCAAACUCCUACGGGAGGCAGCAGUGAGGAAUAUUGGUCAAUGGGCGCUAGCCUGAACCAGCCAAGUAGCGUGAAGGAUGAAGGCUCUAUGGGUCGUAAACUUCUUUUAUAUAAGAAUAAAGUGCAGUAUGUAUACUGUUUUGUAUGUAUUAUAUGAAUAAGGAUCGGCUAACUCCGUGCCAGCAGCCGCGGUAAUACGGAGGAUCCGAGCGUUAUCCGGAUUUAUUGGGUUUAAAGGGAGCGUAGGUGGACUGGUAAGUCAGUUGUGAAAGUUUGCGGCUCAACCGUAAAAUUGCAGUUGAUACUGUCAGUCUUGAGUACAGUAGAGGUGGGCGGAAUUCGUGGUGUAGCGGUGAAAUGCUUAGAUAUCACGAAGAACUCCGAUUGCGAAGGCAGCUCACUGGACUGCAACUGACACUGAUGCUCGAAAGUGUGGGUAUCAAACAGGAUUAGAUACCCUGGUAGUCCACACAGUAAACGAUGAAUACUCGCUGUUUGCGAUAUACAGUAAGCGGCCAAGCGAAAGCAUUAAGUAUUCCACCUGGGGAGUACGCCGGCAACGGUGAAACUCAAAGGAAUUGACGGGGGCCCGCACAAGCGGAGGAACAUGUGGUUUAAUUCGAUGAUACGCGAGGAACCUUACCCGGGCUUAAAUUGCAGUGGAAUGAUGUGGAAACAUGUCAGUGAGCAAUCACCGCUGUGAAGGUGCUGCAUGGUUGUCGUCAGCUCGUGCCGUGAGGUGUCGGCUUAAGUGCCAUAACGAGCGCAACCCUCAUCUUUAGUUACUAACAGGUUAUGCUGAGGACUCUAGAGAGACUGCCGUCGUAAGAUGUGAGGAAGGUGGGGAUGACGUCAAAUCAGCACGGCCCUUACGUCCGGGGCUACACACGUGUUACAAUGGGGGGGUACAGAAGGCAGCUAGCGGGUGACCGUAUGCUAAUCCCAAAAUCCUCUCUCAGUUCGGAUCGAAGUCUGCAACCCGACUUCGUGAAGCUGGAUUCGCUAGUAAUCGCGCAUCAGCCACGGCGCGGUGAAUACGUUCCCGGGCCUUGUACACACCGCCCGUCAAGCCAUGGGAGCCGGGGGUACCUGAAGUACGUAACCGCAAGGAUCGUCCUAGGGUAAAACUGGUGACUGGG
rnacentral:rRNA from 1 species